rnacentral:rRNA from 1 species
CCUACGGGUGGCAGCAGUGAGGAAUAUUGGUCAAUGGACGAGAGUCUGAACCAGCCAAGUAGCGUGAAGGAUGACUGCCCUAUGGGUUGUAAACUUCUUUUAUAUGGGAAUAAAAUGUUCCACGUGUGGGAUUUUGUAUGUACCAUAUGAAUAAGGAUCGGCUAACUCCGUGCCAGCAGCCGCGGUAAUACGGCGGAUCCGAGCGUUAUCGGGAUUUAUUGGGUUUAAAGGGAGCGUAGGUGGAUUGUUAAGUCAGUUGUGAAAGUUUGCGGCUCAACCGUAAAAUUGCAGUUGAAACGGGCAGUCUUGAGUACAGUAGAGGUGGGCGGAAUUCGUGGUGUAGCGGUGAAAUGCUUAGAUAUCACGAAGAACUCCGAUUGCGAAGGCAGUUCACUGGACUGCAACUGACACUGAGGCUCGAAAGUGUGGGUAUCAAACAGGAUUAGAUACCCGAGUAGUC